rnacentral:rRNA from 1 species
UACGGGGGGGGCAAGCGUUGUUCGGAAUUACUGGGCGUAAAGGGCUCGUAGGCGGCCAACUAAGUCAGACGUGAAAUCCCUCGGCUUAACCGGGGAACUGCGUCUGAUACUGGAUGGCUUGAGUUUGGGAGAGGGAUGCGGAAUUCCAGGUGUAGCGGUGAAAUGCAUUGAGAUCGGAAAGAACACCAACGGCGAAAGCACUCUGCUGGGCCGACACUGACACUGAGAGACGAAAGCUAGGGGAGCAAAUGGG